AAUAAAGUGCCUGACCAAAGGGUUAUCUUGAUAGGAUAAAUCAUGUAUUUAAUACCUUUAUUA
rnacentral:tRNA from 1 species